GCCAGUGUCCACUUGUUCCUUUGGAGGAACUAUUGGGCAUUUAAGGGACUAGUUGAACACACUCUGUAGGUCAACUCUGCCCGGAGUGGAGGGAGCUGCGCGGACAGCUGACCCUCUGCAGGGGUUUGCAACUGGGCUCCUGGAAACAGCGGGAGCCGUCGAAGGAGGAGAGAAGGUGCGUGAGCCCCUCUCACCAGGCCUGCAGAUGCUGGGUGGUACCCAAAGAGGCGCUCAGAUCACUGGAGCUGGAGCUCAGUCGGCGGUCUUUUGCGGGAACUGCACCCAUCCCGGAGCAUCUCUGGCCCUCCUAUUUCACUGAACUCGCCUUCCUCUCAGAGGAAAGUGGGAAGACCGCUUGCUAUCCAGGACGGUGUGGGGAGGGUAAGAGGGCUUAGGGAAAGACCGCGGAAAACGCGGCGCACACGCCAGCUGGCAUCACCGGGGAUUCCCUCCGGCUCGGUGGGGCUCCGGCGCGCUUGUAGCGAGGACCCCCAGCCCAGGGCAGAGCGUAUCCCCUCAGCUCCCCGAGUCUGGGCCCUUGGCGGCCGCAGUGGCCCAGGCCCGCCCCGCCUCCGCGCGCGGCCCUCCCCGGCUCAGUGCCCGGCGCUGCCGGGAAGCGGGCAGAGGGGCGCACCGGGCGGCGGGCGGGGACCUGGGGAAGGCCGGGAGCGCGGGGACUGAGGACGCACGCGGCGGGCCGGGCGGCGCGCGCCUCCCCCCUCCCCCGAGGCCCGAGCGCGAGUCGCCGUGACGUCACGGGCCACCCGCCAGCCCCGCGCUCCUCCGGGCAGAGCGCGUGUGGCCGCCGAGCACAUGGGCCUGCGGGCCGAGCGGGCUCGGGGAGGCCGGGACGAGGAGGGGCGACGAGGAGCUGCGAGCAAGGAUGUGCCUCGGAAUCCCCCGCACCUUCCCGUGGAUUUCCUUGCUGAAAGGAUGUUGGUGGACCCUGUGACCUGUGGAGACACGGCCAGAUCUGCCCUCCAGCCUGAUCUUUUGGCCAGAAGGAGAUUAAAAAGAUGCCCCUUAAGAUGGCUGUGCCUGUCAGCUGCAUGGAGCUUCGUUCGAGUAUUUUCUGAGCCUGAUGGAUUUACAGUGAUCUUCGGUCGUCUGAGGAAUAACUCUGGUGGAACAAUGCACUGGAAUGACACACGCCCUGCACAUUUCAGGAUACUAAAAGUGGUUUUGAAGGAGGCCCUGGCUGAAUGCCUCAUGGAUUCUUACAGCUUGGAUGUCCAUGUGGGAUGA
rnacentral:lncRNA from 1 species